rnacentral:rRNA from 1 species
UACGUAGGGUGCGAGCGUUAAUCGGAAUUACUGGGCGUAAAGCGUGCGCAGGCGGUUUGCUAAGACCGAUGUGAAAUCCCCGGGCUCAACCUGGGAACUGCAUUGGUGACUGGCAGGCUAGAGUAUGGCAGAGGGGGGUAGAAUUCCACGUGUAGCAGUGAAAUGCGUAGAGAUGUGGAGGAAUACCGAUGGCGAAGGCAGCCCCCUGGGCCAGUACUGACGCUCAUGCACGAAAGCGUGGGGAGCAAACAGG